rnacentral:lncRNA from 1 species
UACUUAGAUCACAUGACGACUCAAAGAGGAUGACAUAUUUCUACUGUCUGGCCUGGGUCAUAUGCUCACUGUUGCAAAAAGAUAGAAAAGACUGCUGUUGGACCACAAAUAUUGUCAGUAAGGGCAAAUGUUGCAGGUAUGAUGGAAAGGGCCACAAGCCAAGGAAUGAGGAUAGCCUUUAGAAGCAGAAAAGGAAAGGAAAUAGAUUCUCAUCUAGAGCCUCUACAAAGGAAUGAGCUCUGCUGACACCUUGACCUUAGCUAAUGAGGCCCAUUUUCUGGAGAAUUUGUGAUUUCCAAAACUGAAGACUAAAUUUGUCAAGGAAACGGCCAGGCAUGGUGGCUGAUGCCUGUAACCCCAGGACUUUGGGAAGCUAAGGCAGUAGGAUUGCUUGAGCCCAGAAGUUUGAGUCUGCAGUGAACUAUGACUCACCACUGCCUUCCAGCCUGGGUGACAGAGUGAGACCCUGUCUCAGGAAAAAAAAAUAAAAGCAACAGUUAUAUUUUCUAUACUUCUGUAAUUUUCUAUAUAAUUCUUUCUCAUCUGCUGGCAGUAUUAUGACUUUUAUGCAAAUCUGAUGUCUCUCAUUUUUUCUACCUGGCAUACUUUUAUUGUGUAUGAGUUUAAAUAAUAGUGUAUGUUUUUCUCUCAAAGUAUACAUUUUUGGGUUUUACACAAAAAUUUCUUUCAAUUACUGUAUUGUAUCACUUUAUUUUGUGGCAGUUUUUUAAAUUGUUUCUGUAGAGGACACUCAUAUAUAAACCAGUAUCCUUUGAUUUCCCAUCUUCUCACAUUCAGUAACACGUGCUUAUUCUAUUUAUUCUUGGAUUUUGAGUUGGUGAUUUAGCAAGCUAUCCUUUGCACGUACACUGAGAAUUAUUAUUUAAAUUAAUGUAGUCUCUCAAAAUGAAGAAAAUUAUACAUAGUGAUAUGAAUUUGUUUAUACUUUUUUCUGAAAUUUAACACAUUGUUUUAUAAUAUAAAUGUUGGCAUCCCACAAUAACCCUUAGUGAAGUUGUUGAUUCUUCAAUUAUAGUAUUUGGAAGCAGAAUGAAAAUGACCUGGAUGAAAAGAAAAAUAAACAGAUGUUCAUAUGAUGUUAGUUAGUUCCCCCCAAAAAAGGCUUCCUAGGAAAGUAUUUAACCCAGGGAAAUUAAAGUUAGAAGGUUUGAUCAAAGACCUAUCACUCCCUAUUGGAAAAAUGAAGAUUUGUUGCAUUGUCACUGGAGAGAAGACUGGAGGUAGUCACUCAGAGCUAAUUGUGUGUGCCGUAUUUAAUAAGGUUGGUGCCUAAUGGACUUCAUCACAGGGAAGUCUUUAUUGCCCAAGAGACCUUGACAUCAGAAACAUUAUUGGAAGGGUUUCUGUCUACACAUGUAGCCAGCUAUUUACCUGCCCAGAGUUAACCUAAGAUUUUUUUCAAAAGGUUGAUUGGUUCAGCCAUUACUUUGAUUUCCUGUCUCCUGUCACCUUUUGCAGUAAUCACAUAAGUAGUUUUUGUUGUUUUUUUUUGUUUUAGCAACCUGGAAUAAGAAAAUAGUUUUUCAUUUGUACUAAGAGGUGUUUUUCAUUAAACAACCUGAUCAAAGUUUCUAUUUUCAAUUUAUAUGCUAAUAAAGUAUACUUUAGAACUUAUAAACAUGCAUUACCCAGUGGGAUUUUAUUCCUGGAUCCAACAUAAUCUAUGGGGUCAGAGGAUCUCUUCAGAUUAAAAGAGUUAGAGGAAAGUGGUUGUCAAUUGAAAAGUAUGAGGCCAUAUGCACAAUGAGGUAGAGGAUUAGAGCAAUUAAUAAUAAAUUAAAGAAAGGUUAGAACAAAAUGCAGAUAGGGCAAACAUAACAUAUAUAUUUUUUGGCAUUAAUUAUCCAGAAUUCUUUAUUCUAAGAAUGUUUUAUAUCAUAUGAUUGGUGUAAGUGUUGCUUAUCUCUUGAAAAUUCUCUUACAUUUUUUGUUUCUAUUAUGUAUAUAUAACUUACUGUAAUGCAUAAUAGGUAUUACUUUGGUCAAAUUAAGUAAGUUUUGUAAAACCAGCUAUGUCUACAAUGAUUUUCUGAGAUGAUCUCUGAUUAUAAUCUCUGCUUUUGGUAGUGAACCUAAAGAAUUUCUGAAAUAUAGAGAACAGUGUUUGUUUUUAUGCGAGUGUUGUUCUCAGGAAAAUCUGAUGGGCUUGACAUGAGAAAUUGAUUAAAGGAAAACCAAUAGACAGGUCAAUAAAAUUUGUAUGAAGAAGCUUACAAUUGACAUUCUACCCAAAUAGGCAUAAUAUAGUUAUGGUUAAAUUAGACAUUUUAUUUAAAAAAUACUGUACAGUACAGAAAAAUAUCAGCAAUUGAUUGGAAUGCCAUCUGGUGAGACAUACAGAGACCUUGGGAAAGUAGAGACAGUGAGUUAGCAGAAGCUAUGAGUAAACUAAAGCCAUGAGCUAGAAGAAUUCAUAAGCAAACCAAAUUCAGAAACCAAAAGAUACAUAUAAUCAGGUCGCUGGAAUCUGUUGACAGCAGCAGAGGCUGGAGAAACAUAAACAGAAGUUGAAUGUCCCAAAUAAAGUUCUCCAGAUAAUUCCUGCUGAUAGAAUAGUCACGGGUAGCAGGAGCAGAUGAGUGAAAGACGUAGUAUAUCAUUGAAUUCUGUGAUUAGCAGCAAUUCAUAAAACUACUGUAUAUGUGGGUGCUUUGCAUGGAGAUUUUUCUUCUCAAUUUGAUACAUUUAUGGUUUUGAAAAUAAAAGUGCUUUCAGACACACAUGAAAGAUCAUCACUCAGGGUGGAUAAUCCACAUUUUAUUCUGGACCUUCUUUCAUUAGAUGAUUCUCACUCAAAAUUGAAGAUUUUUUUCCUAUGUAUUAUUAAACCAUCUGAUAAAAAACUUAUGCAUUCCCCUUCUAAUUUAUGCUGAAGUAGCUCAGUGAACUAAAGCCCUACACUGCCAUAUUAUUGUAUUAUUUACAGAGAUGUAUGGAGUAAAUCAGUGUGUGUGCAUAUGAUUGUGUGAGGCAUGCUGUUAUAAGCAAUCCUAGUGAUUCCUAAUUUAAAUUAUUUAUAUUAAAAUAUUUUCAAGACAUUCCUGUGAUAGACAUUCCUACUAUUCAGUAAUAUUCAAUUUAUUUCUUAUGGGCAGACAGAUAAAUUGUGAUGCGGUAGGGAAGUGCUGGGAAGGGAAGAGUAUGGUCCCUUUAAAUGAUACGGAAGGGGGAAGGGCGUGGUCUCUGGCUAGGGCUCCACCCCCGUAGACCUAGGUGAGGACAGGCAUUUUUGUUUUCCUGCCCAAAUGUUGCAUUUUCCCGAGACCACCCUGGCCUGCCGUGCCCCCUAUGAAAACCCAAGACCCUAGCAAGGCAGAGACGCAGGUGGCUGGACGUUGAGAGGUGCACACCAGCAGAGGAACACACGGGCAGCUGGAUGUUGAGAGGAACACUGACUGGCACGGGCACUCAGGUAGGCCAUUGACUGGCAGAAGCAGAACACGGUGGAGUUUGGCUGGGGCAGUCGGAGGAGAGCCCAGGCCGCUGAGCAGCCCGACGAAAACCUUCCCACUGGCUUCUGGCUUCCCCAAUCUGCUGAGUGCUACCUCCACUCAAUAAAACCUUGCACUCAUUCUCCAAGCCCAGGUGCGAUCCUAUUCUUCCGGUACACCAAGACAAGAACCCAGGUUACAGAAAGCCCUCUGUCCUUGUGACAAGGCAGAGAGUCUAAUUGAGCUGGUUAACAUAAGCCGCCUAUAGACGGCAAAACUAAAAGAGCACACGGUAGCACGUGCCCUCUGGGGCUUCAGCUAUAAACAUCCACUCUAGACACUGCCCUGGGGUCAGAGCCCCACAGCCUGCCGGCUGUAUGCCCCGCAAGAGGUUUGAACCUCUGUUGCUCCCCAAGAGGUGUGAGCAGCGGGGCACUGAAGAAGCCAGCUACUUCCCCUGUCGCACGCCUUGCGAGGGGGACAAGGCAACUUUUCCUGUUUCAGUUGCACCUAUCUACGUGAAGAGAGAUGUGGUCAAUGACUUUGACCUAAAGUUAUACAUAUCAAUUUUAGAUGGAAAUAUUUAAUUAUCAAAGAUCAACUCCAACUUGUUUUUUCUUCCUCGUCACGGACAUAGUGUUACAGGUUAGCAUAUAGGUAAAAUAUCCAGUACAUGAAGAAGAACUGUACUGUAUGGUUGCUCAGAACAUUCACUGGCUGCACAAAUGAGAAAUACAUCUCUGUUAUUUUAAGCAACUGAGAUUUUGGGGUUCUUUGCUAUCCUGAUGUAGUCUAAUCUAUCCUGACACAGCCCUAAAGGAAGGGAACCAUUACUAAAUUUUUUGAGUAUUAAAUACAGCAGCUUUUGUCAGGUGAGGUUUAUCUCCCAAAUGUUUUCUUACUUUAGGGAGGAAUUUCAAAAGAUAACAGAUUUAUGUUCUCUUUAUCAGACAAAAGUUGUUAAUGUCACAUUAUUUUAUAAGUAGUAAUAGUAAUUUAUAUUCUAGCCCUUCAGAACACUAUGUUAAAAUAAAAUAAUCUCAUUUGUAAUUCAGCAGAUUUUGUUUGCCUAAUGUUCAUGACUACGUAAAUAGAUUGCAUACUAUUUCUUGAAGAAUAUUAAAGUGUUAAUUUACAGAUGCAAGUUUAACACAUCAGAUGUGUAAAAUGUUUCCAUGCUUUACUCUGUUAUUUAACCUUUUAUUCUGUAUGAAUUUGUAAUAAUCUUAGCUGGAAAUGUUCAGUAAAUAAUUUUUGCUUCUUAUCAGUUCAAAUAUUUUAUACCCUUUGGAUAAUGGUAAGGUAGCUUCUUUAUCUCUCCUUCUGCAUCCACUUCUAUAACUACUUUGACCAAAAUAAAAGGAUAAUUAUAAC